GGGGCUAGGAACACCUUAAAGGGGGUACAGCCCCUUUAAAAAAGGAUACAACCUCCACUAGAGGAUAACCCCCCGCGCAGCAAAAACAGUAGGCCCCCAAGCAGCCACCAACAGAGAGUGCGUCAAAGCUCAACCCUCCCCCGCCCAAAAAUCUAAUAACAACUCGACUCCCUUACCACUAACAGGCCAAUCUACACAUGUAGAAGAAUUAAUGCUAAAAUGAGUAACCCAGAAGCCCCUCCUCUUAAGCGCAAGCUUACAUCACCACAUUAUUAACAGCCUAAACCCCACUAUGUUCAAAACCCAAACAAGAACAACACAUCAUCCUACCCUGUUAACCCAACCCAGGAGCGCCUGCUAGAAAGAUUCAAAUCUGUAAAAGGAACUAGGCAAACCAAAGGCCCGACUGUUUACCAAAAACAUAGCCUUCAGCACACCAAGUAUUGAAGGUGACACCUGCCCAGUGACAUCAUGUUUAACGGCCGCGGUAUCCUA
rnacentral:rRNA from 1 species